GAGCCGCCCCCGAACCGCGCACCCGACUUGCAGGCGUCCGCCUGGGCCUCCCUAAGACACGCCGCAUACAGGACAGGCCCCUGGGCCUUCCGCGGCGAUGGCGCUGCGCUAAUGACGUCAUAGGCCCGGACUCGCGUGAGUGCGCGUGCGUUGGGGCCUCAGCCUUUAUCUCCACUCUGCGGAGAUUCACGCCUGGAAAACGCUCUUCUGAGAGGAUCUGUGGAGGUCAACCCAGGAGAGAGAAGACAGGACUGAAGCACUGAAAGGGUCCUGCCGUUAAGGGCGCAGGAUUGUAUAGAAUAUAUAAUAGCAGUAGCAGCUCUGUUUACGGAGCAUUAACCUUACGUGGAGUUAUUUCCUGCAUUUCCUCCUUUCGUCUUUACAAGGUAGCCGUUUGGCGUCGUGAGGUAUGGAUGUUCCCAUCCCUAAUUUGCAAAAUAGGUAACUGAGGCUCAGGAGAGCUAGACUAGUUUGUGCACAGCCGAGAAGUGGUCAAGCUAGAAUGGGACCCCAGGUUUGUGCUCCCUACUCUCCACCGAUAACCUAUCAAAGGGCUUUGCAAGAGCUUUUGACUAAUCGUCUGUCAAUGGUUCUUCAUUCACGUAUUAAUUGCACAUCAGUAUGUGCCAAAUCUACUAGACAUUGGAGAAACAGUAGGAACAACACAUGGUACCGGCACAUGGAUCUUUCAGGAAAACGAAGUAGGUAAUAAACAGGAAAAAGCCCGAGUCUGAUGCUAAGAAGAACAUAAACAGGAUGCUGAGCGGAAAGUGACCAGAAGAGGUGUGCAGUUUCCAGGCCUGGCCCAUACAGACCUCCAACAGGUGCUCCCCUGUGCUGUUACUCCUUCUGCCAACUGGAAGCAGAUGGUGACCAGGCUCUGGAGAAGGCAAGGCCUGAAGAUGGGAGAUUCCUAAGUGGAGGAGAACUGUGCCUUACUGACCUAAAUAUCCACUCAGUAUUGUUAUGUGAGAAUAAAUAAACUUGUGUUGACCGUUUACU
rnacentral:lncRNA from 10 species